rnacentral:tRNA from 1 species
GGGGAUUUAGCUCAGUGGUAGAGCGCUUGCCUAGCAAGCACAAGGCCCUGGGUUCAGUCCCCAGCCCA